AAUGAUCCUCCAACUUCAGCCUCCUAAAGUGCUGGGAUUAUAGGCACAAGCCACUGCGCCUGGCCACCUUUCUGGAGUUUAAUAAUGGAGAUGUGUCAGAACAUGUGAACUUAUGAUGUGGUUUCAAGAGCAACCCCAUCUCUCACUCAGGCUGCAGUCCAUGCAUGCAGCAGGUGGGCUGUGCUUAUUGCAGUCCUCUGGGCACCAGCCUGACAGUUAUUGGUUACCGGGCCUGAGGGGAAGCACUCUGGAGGGUCUUCGCACUGGCAGUUAAGUACUCUGGACAGAAAUGACAGUCACUGGUUGGAAGUGAUCUUACAACCAGGCCCAACACAAGAGUUGUAAAAGACAAUUUUCUUAUGUCUAUAGGGGAAAGAGCUGGAAGUAUUUGAACAGUUUUAGAGUUAGCAACAGGAACUGACUGUGUUGGCCAUUAGGGCUUUAGUUCAAACUGAAGCUCAGACUUUUAAUCAUUUAGUGGGCUUGAAGGCCACAAACGCAGGGUUUCAUAGUCUUGCUCUCCUGUUCCAGCCGAGAGAAAUUGUCUGUGUUUAUUUUGUAAAAAGCCCUUUUUAGCCACUGUAGUAUCAAGAGGCAGCUUUGGAGGAUGGAUGAUAAUUGGGAUUAGGAGCUGGGAUCUGUAUCAUAGGCUUGGCUGUUUCAGAAUUACUUGGAGAAUACAACCUAGGGUUGCAAAGUAGAAGUAGCAGAUCACGGGAGGGUUAAGUCCCCCUUUAUUUUGGCACAGUCAUGUCCUACCUGAUACAACUCUGUUUCAAGUACCAUACUUUGAAGGCAGCUUUAUCAAGCUGAAACCCAGGGACAGUUACCAGGGGAGGUGGGAGUCUUGGGAAUCGGAAGGGAUUACUUGGUAGCUGCUCUAAGUAUUGGAAGAGCUGUCAGAAGUUUCUUCCUUACUGGCGAGGAACUUACCUCUUUGUAGUGAGAUGAAUUGGACUGCAUUGGAGGUGGUGUGCUCACUACUCUAAGUGACCAAAGAAGCUGGAGAAAGGAUUUGACCCAAGUAUAGAGAGGAAGCGUGGGUGCCAUGGUGACUCCUCAGGUCCCUCCCACCUCUGUCAUGAUAUUUCUGUAUUUUUUUCUCAGAAAUAAACCUUUCCUCAUAGGGGAAAGAGUGAAUGCCACUUGAGCCCUCACUAUAUAAAGACAUGGCUGCUCACAAAUGCUCCACUGCGAAUUCCUCAGGAAUCUUGAAAUUGGUCGUAGAAUCUCCAUUUUACAGAUGCAACAAUAUUUUCCUCACUUCCUGGAAAUGGCUCUGCUCUAGCCUCACAACAUUAUCCAGGAGAUGUCUUAGCGACAGUGAUGGUUAAGGUAGAGCACCUCCAAGAAUCUGAGUGUUGAAUCUUCCAAAGUGUUCAAAUAUGUGGUAAGAUAAAUUAAGCAGAAGGUAAGUUGAGGGUUGGACUGUGUGCUGUUGGCCUCUUGUUCUAGCGACAAGGUCAGCAGUCCCUGUGGGGAUCUCAGUUCCUGCCCCCACACAGGCAUGUGUACACAUACUCACAUGCACACAGACACUCCUGGCUUUUGGUUCUUUCCCAGGUAGGAAACUGUUCUUUACACCUUGACUUGCUGAUCUGUCUUCUAGCAGGGAUCCAAGAACGUUACUGAGGGGCAACAGGACUUUGGGUGGGGGUAACAGACUGGGAUUGAGGUGAUCAGAUUCUAGUCUCAUAUGAGUCCCUAAUAGGGUUUUGGACAAAAUCUCCAUUCUGAAUUUGUUUUCUUAGCUCUAUAAAGUCCACACAUAAGUUUAACAAGGUUUUGGUUCUAGUUUCUAACUCACUGAGACCUAAUUGAUGUGGAACACUAUUUCAGUCAUUACCACCAGCACCAGCAUUGUUACUCUUUCUCUGAACUGGUGGUUGACCUGUUUUGGAGAAGUGAUUGUGAAGAUUAAAUGAGUUAAUAUGACAAGUUUCAAACAGUGCAUCGGCAUGGCAUAUAAUACAAUCUAUAAAGUGUUAGUAGUGAUGAGAAGACAUUGCUUACAGGGUUGUGAAUUGUGAUAUGCCUCUUGGAAAACAGGGCAACAGACAUAUCAAGAGCCAAAAACAAAUGGCUCUCAAACCAGAGAUCCCACUUCCAGAAAUCCCAAAAUAUAUAACGUUGGAAAACUCAUACCAAACAUAUUCAUCACAGGAUUAUUACAUACAUUUUAAAAUGAGUGGCUAACAAGAUUGAAUAAAUUAGGAGACCAUCUACUUGACUGACUCCUUUGUAGCCACUAAAAGACUAAUAGCAA